UACGUAGGGCGCAAGCGUUGUCCGGAAUUAUUGGGCGUAAAGAGCUCGUAGGCGGCUUGUCACGUCGAUUGUGAAAGCCCGAGGCUUAACCUCGGGUCUGCAGUCGAUACGGGCUAGCUAGAGUGUGGUAGGGGAGAUCGGAAUUCCUGGUGUAGCGGUGAAAUGCGCAGAUAUCAGGAGGAACACCGGUGGCGAAGGCGGAUCUCUGGGCCAUUACUGACGCUGAGGAGCGAAAGCGUGGGGGAGCGAACAGG
rnacentral:rRNA from 1 species